rnacentral:rRNA from 2 species
CAUGGCUCAGGACGAACGCUGGCGGCGCGCCUAACACAUGCAAGUCGAACGAGAGAUGAGGAGCUUGCUCUUCAAAUCGAGUGGCGAACGGGUGAGUAACGCGUGAGGAACCUGCCUCAAAGAGGGGGACAACAGUUGGAAACGACUGCUAAUACCGCAUAAGCCCACAGCUCGGCAUCGAGCAGAGGGAAAAGGAGUGAUCCGCUUUGAGAUGGCCUCGCGUCCGAUUAGCUAGUUGGUGAGGUAAUGGCCCACCAAGGCAACGAUCGGUAGCCGGACUGAGAGGUUGAACGGCCACAUUGGGACUGAGACACGGCCCAGACUCCUACGGGAGGCAGCAGUGGGGAAUAUUGCACAAUGGGGGAAACCCUGAUGCAGCGACGCCGCGUGGAGGAAGAAGGUCUUCGGAUUGUAAACUCCUGUUGUUGAGGAAGAUAAUGACGGUACUCAACAAGGAAGUGACGGCUAACUACGUGCCAGCAGCCGCGGUAAAACGUAGGUCACAAGCGUUGUCCGGAAUUACUGGGUGUAAAGGGAGCGCAGGCGGGAGAACAAGUUGGAAGUGAAAUCCAUGGGCUCAACCCAUGAACUGCUUUCAAAACUGUUUUUCUUGAGUAGUGCAGAGGUAGGCGGAAUUCCCGGUGUAGCGGUGGAAUGCGUAGAUAUCGGGAGGAACACCAGUGGCGAAGGCGGCCUACUGGGCACCAACUGACGCUGAGGCUCGAAAGUGUGGGUAGCAAACAGGAUUAGAUACCCUGGUAGUCCACACCGUAAACGAUGAUUACUAGGU